rnacentral:rRNA from 1 species
AUUGAACGCUGGCGGCAGGCCUAACACAUGCAAGUCGAACGGUAACAGGAAGCAGCUUGCUGCUUCGCUGACGAGUGGCGGACGGGUGAGUAAUGUCUGGGAAGCUGCCUGAUGGAGGGGGAUAACUACUGGAAACGGUAGCUAAUACCGCAUAAUGUCGCAAGACCAAAGAGGGGGACCUUCGGGCCUCUUGCCAUCGGAUGUGCCCAGAUGGGAUUAGCUUGUUGGUGGGGUAACGGCUCACCAAGGCGACGAUCCCUAGCUGGUCUGAGAGGAUGACCAGCCACACUGGAACUGAGACACGGUCCAGACUCCUACGGGAGGCAGCAGUGGGGAAUAUUGCACAAUGGGCGCAAGCCUGAUGCAGCCAUGCCGCGUGUAUGAAGAAGGCCUUCGGGUUGUAAAGUACUUUCAGCGGGGAGGAAGGGAGUAAAGUUAAUACCUUGCUCAUUGACGUUACCCGCAGAAGAAGCACCGGCUAACUCCGUC